rnacentral:rRNA from 1 species
CUUGCCUGCUAUCUCUUACCCAUGUCUUUUAAGUACCUUACGUUUCCUCGGCGGGUCCGCCCGCCGAUUGGACAAUUUAAACCAUUUGCAGUUGCAAUCAGCGUCUGAAAAAACUUAAUAGUUACAACUUUCAACAACGGAUCUCUUGGUUCUGGCAUCGAUGAAGAACGCAGCGAAAUGCGAUAAGUAGUGUGAAUUGCAGAAUUCAGUGAAUCAUCGAAUCUUUGAACGCACAUUGCGCCCCUUGGUAUUCCAUGGGGCAUGCCUGUUCGAGCGUCAUUUGUACCUUCAAGCUCUGCUUGGUGUUGGGUGUUUGUCUCGCCUCUGCGUGUAGACUCGCCUCAAAACAAUUGGCAGCCGGCGUAUUGAUUUCGGAGCGCAGUACAUCUCGCGCUUUGCACUCAUAACGACGACGUCCAAAAGUACAUUUUUACACUCUUGACCUCGGAUCAGGUAGGGAUACCCGCUGAACUUAAGCAUAUCAAUAAGCGGAGGAAAAGAAACCAACAGGGAUUGCCCUAGUAACGGCGAGUGAAGCGGCAACAGCUCAAAUUUGAAAUCUGGCGUCUUUGGCGUCCGAGUUGUAAUUUGCAGAGGGCGCUUUGGCAUUGGCAGCGGUCCAAGUUCCUUGGAACAGGACGUCACAGAGGGUGAGAAUCCCGUACGUGGUCGCUAGCCUUUACCGUGUAAAGCCCCUUCGACGAGUCGAGUUGUUUGGGAAUGCAGCUCUAAAUGGGAGGUAAAUUUCUUCUAAAGCUAAAUACUGGCCAGAGACCGAUAGCGCACAAGUAGAGUGAUCGAAAGAUGAAAAGCACUUUGGAAAGAGAGUUAAAAAGCACGUGAAAUUGUUGAAAGGGAAGCGCUUGCAGCCAGACUUGCCUGUAGUUGCUCAUCCGGGUUUCUACCCGGUGCACUCUUCUAUAGGCAGGCCAGCAUCAGUUUGGGCGGUUGGAUAAAGGUCUCUGUCAUGUACCUCCUUUCGGGGAGAACUUAUAGGGGAGACGACAUGCAACCAGCCUGGACUGAGGUCCGCGCAUCUGCUAGGAUGCUGGCGUAAUGGCUGUAAGCGGCCCGUCUUGAAACACGGACCAAGGAGUCUAACAUCUAUGCGAGUGUUUGGGUGUCAAGCCCGAGCGCGUAAUGAAAGUGAACGGAGGUGGGAACCUUUCGGGGUGCACCAUCGACCGAUCCUGAUGUCUUCGGAUGGAUUUGAGUAAGAGCAUAGCUGUUGGGACCCGAAAGAUGGUGAACUAUGCUUGAAUAGGGUGAAGCCAGAGGAAACUCUGGUGGAGGCUCGCAGCGGUUCUGACGUGCAAAUCGAUCGUCAAAUUUGGGCAUAGGGGCGAAAGACAAUC